UACGUAGGGGGCGAGCGUUGUUCGGAUUUACUGGGCGUAAAGGGCGCGCAGGCGGCGUAUCAAGUCAGGCGUGAAAGCCCCCGGGCUCAACCUGGGAGGUGCGCUUGAUACUCGAGGGCUUGAGUGCGGGAGAGGAGAGUGGAAUUCCCAGUGUAGAGGUGAAAUUCGUAGAUAUUGGGAAGAACACCGGUGGCGAAGGCGGCUACUCUGGACCGUAACUGACGCUGAGGCGCGAAAGCGUGGGGAGCAAACAGG
rnacentral:rRNA from 1 species